rnacentral:rRNA from 1 species
AACGAACGCUGGCGGCGUGGAUAAGACAUGCAAGUCGAACGGAAUCAAGUUUGUAGCAAUACCGACUUGGUUUAGUGGCGAACGGGUGCGUAACACGUGAGUAAUCUGCCGAAAAGUGGGGGAUAGCUCGCCGAAAGGCGAAUUAAUACCGCAUGUGGCCAUUCCUUGAUUAAGGGAGAAGCCAAAGUCGCAAGACGCUUUUUGAUGAACUCGCGGCCUAUCAGCUAGAUGGCGGGGUAAAAGCCCACCAUGGCUAUGACGGGUAGCUGGUCUGAGAGGACGACCAGCCACACUGGAACUGAGACACGGUCCAGACACCUACGGGUGGCUG